GAUCUGUGUGUCACAAUGGGAGCUGUUGUAGCAUUAGCAGUGUUUCUGGGAACUUUAUAUUAUGGUCACUGUGUUGAACUCACCCAGCCUGGAUCUAUGGUUUUAACACCAGGGCAGUCUCUGCCCAUCUCCUGUAAAGUCUCUGGGUAUUCCCUGACUGAUAGCAGCUACUGUACAGACUGGAUCCGACAGCCUGCAGGGAAAGCUCUGGAGUGGGUUGGAGAAGUCUGUGGCAGUGGGAACACCUAUUACAAAGAUUCACUAAAGAACAGGUUCACUGUGUCCAGAGACACUUCCAGCAGCACAGUGUCUUUGAAAGGGAGCAGCCUGCAGACUGGAGACACAGCUGUGUAUUACUGUGCCCGAGAGUCACAGUGAGAGAAAGUCAUGUGGGAGUGAUACAAAAACUGCUUCACACUUCAGUUCACACAGUCAGCAACAGAAACAGUAUUUCUUACAUAU